rnacentral:rRNA from 1 species
CUAGAGUUUGAUCCUGGCUCAGGAUUAACGCUGGCNNCRYNCCUAAUACAUGCAAGUCGAACGAAAGUAGCAAUACUUUAGUGGCGAACGGGUGAGUAACACGCUAUCUAACCUACCAUUUAGUGAGGAAUAACUNUUGGAAACNACAGCUAAUACCGCAUAUGUUAUUUAUUUGCAAUGAUAAAUAAUGAAANGAGCAUUUNCUUCGCUAAUUGAUGGGGAUGCGGCGCAUUAACUAGUUGGUAAGGUAAUGGCUUACCAAGGUAACGAUGCGUAGCCGAUCUGAGAGGAUGAACGGCCACAUUGGGACUGAGACACGGCCCAAACUUCUACGGAAGGCAGCAGUAGGGAAUUUUUCACAAUGGGCGAAANCCUGAUGGAGCAAUGCCGCGUGACUGAUGAAGGUCUUCGGAUUGUAAANGUCUGUUGUAAGAGAAGAAGUGCUAGAAUAGGAAAUGAUUUUAGUAUCGACCAUACCUUACCAGAAAGCCACGGGCUAAAAA